rnacentral:tRNA from 1 species
UUCCGACACCGGGAAUCGAACCCGGGCCUCCUGGGUGAGAGCUAGGUAUCCUAGACAUAGGACCAUGCCGGA